UACGUAGGGGGCGAGCGUCGUCCGGAUUUAUUGGGCGUAAAGGGCGCGCAGGUGGCUGGUCAAGUCGUGUGUGAAAUCUCUCGGCUCAACUGAGAGGGGCCACGCGAUACUGGCUGGCUUGAGGCUGGAAGGGGGAAGCGGAAUUCCCGGUGUAGUGGUGGAAUGCGUAGAUAUCGGGAGGAACACCAGUGGCGAAGGCGGCUUCCUGGUCCAGUCCUGACGCUGAGGCGCGAAAGCGUGGGGAGCGAUCCGG
rnacentral:rRNA from 1 species